rnacentral:rRNA from 1 species
UAAAGAUAUUAAGGGCACACGGUGGAUGCCUUGGCACAGAAAGUCGAUGAAGGACGUGACAAGCUGCGAUAAGCUACGGUGAGCUGCACAUAAGCUUUGACCCGUAGAUUUCCGAAUGGGGGAACCCAACUGAGGUCAUGCUCAGUUACUCUUGCCUGAACACAUAGGGCACUGAGAGGCAACCUGGGGAACUGAAACAUCUAAGUACCCAGAGGAAAAGAAAUCAACCGAGAUUGCGCUAGUAGCGGCGAGCGAACGCGCAAGAGCCUAAACCCAUGUAUGUGUAAGCAUUAGGGCGUUGCUGCAUGAGGUGUUGUGGGGCUAUCUCUUCUCUUAACCUAAUGUAUGAGACAUAGUUACAAAGUGUUGUUAUAGCAAAAUGAUUUGGAAAAGUCAGCCAGAGCGGGUAAAAGCCCCGUAUGUUAAAUAGCAGCACCUAUGAAGAUAGUUCCCGAGUAAUGCCGAACACGUGAAAUUCGGUAUGAAUCUAGGGAGACCACUCUCUAAGGCUAAAUACUCUUCUGUGACCGAUAGCGAACCAGUACCGUGAGGGAAAGGUGAAAAGUACCCCGAGAGGGGAGUGAAAUAGUACCUGAAACCGUGUGCCUACAAGCAGUUGGAGCCUCCUUGCGAGGUGACAGCGUGCCUUUUGUAGAAUGAGCCAGCGAGUUACGGUGUGCGGCAAGGUUAAGUUUUUAAACGAGCCGUAGUGAAAGCGAGCCUUUAAGAUGGCGUGUUAGUCGUAUGCCGUAGACGCGAAGCCGGGUGAUCUAUCCAUGGGCAGGCUGAAGCAGAGGUAAGACUCUGUGGAGGGCCGAACCCACUUCGGUUGAAAACGGAGGGGAUGACCUGUGGAUAGGGGUGAAAGGCCAAUCAAACUCGGAGAUAUCUCGUUCUCCCCGAAAUAGCUUUAGGGCUAGCCUCGAAUCGUUUACUUACGGUGGUAGAGCACUGGAUUUGUGCGGGGGCUUCACCGCCUACCAACCAAAACCAAACUCCGAAUGCCGUAAGUCUAGAGAUCGGGAGUCAGAAUAUGUGGGCUAAGCCGUGUAUUCGAAAGGGAAACAGCCCAGACCGCCUGCUAAGGUCCCUAAAUCUAUGCUAAGUGGCAAAGGAUGUGCGUUUGCCUAGACAACCAGGAUGUUGGCUUAGAAGCAGCCAUGCAUUUAAAGAGUGCGUAACAGCUCACUGGUCAAGUGGACAUGCGCCGACAAUUCACGGGGCUAAGCAUAGUACCGAAGCAGCGGACUGAUUUUUCAGUGGUAGGGGAGCUUUCUGUACUGGGUUGAAGCUGUUGGGUGACCAAUGGUGGACUGUACAGAAGUGAGAAUGCUGGCAUGAGUAACGAGAGAAGUGCGAGAAACACUUCCGCCGUAAGCCUAAGGGUUCCUGGGCAAGGCUAAUCCUCCCAGGGUCAGUCGGGAGCUAAGACGAGGCAGUAAUGCGUAGUCGAUGCACAACAGGUUGAUAUUCCUGUACCACCUUUGAUUCGUUUGUACGAUGGGGUGACGGAGAAGGGUAGUCAAGCGGGGUUCUGGACGUCCCCGUGAAAGCGCGUAGGGUUGAGUGUAGGUAAAUCCGCACUCUGUAUGCCUGAGACGUUAGACGAAGCUUUUAGUGAAGUUGAUAAGCCCAUGCUUCCAAGAAAAACCUCUAAGGAGAAGAUAGGGUGCCCGUACCAAAACCGACACAGGUAGGCGGGUAGAGCAUACCAAGGCGAUCGGGAGAACUAUGGUUAAGGAACUCGGCAUAAUGACUCCGUAACUUCGGGAGAAGGAGUGCCAUCUUUUGUGAUAGGGCUUGCCCCUUUGAGCGAGAGGUGGUCGCAGUGAAACGGCCCAAGCGACUGUUUAUCAAAAACACAGGACUCUGCUAAGUCGUAAGACGAUGUAUAGGGUCUGACGCCUGCCCGGUGCUGGAAGGUUACGUGGAUGGGUUAGCGCAAGCGAAGCUUUGAAACUAAGCCCCAGUAAACGGCGGCCGUAACUAUAACGGUCCUAAGGUAGCGAAAUUCCUUGUCGGGUAAGUUCCGACCUGCACGAAUGGCGUAACGACUUCCCCACUGUCUCGACCAGGAGCUCGGCGAAAUUGCAGUACGAGUAAAGAUGCUCGUUAAGCGCAGAAGGACGAAAAGACCCCGGGACCUUUACUAUACCUUGGUAUUGGCGUUAGGCGCGGAUUGUGUAGCAUAGGCGGGAGGCUUCGAAGCGGGUGCGCCAGCAUUCGUGGAGCCGCAAGGUGAAAUACCGCUCUGUUCUCGUUUGACGUCUAACCUCGACAAGUCAUCCUUGUCAGGGACAGUGCCUGGCGGGUAGUUCAACUGGGGCGGUUGCCUCCCAAAGAGUAACGGAGGCGCUCAAAGGUCCGCUCAGCCCGGUUGGCAAUCGGGUGUCGAGUGUAAUCGCACAAGCGGGCUUGACUGCGAGGACGACGGUCCGAGCAGGGACGAAAGUCGGAGAUAGUGAUCCGGUGCCGGCGCACGGGCGCGGCAUCGCUCAACGGAUAAAAGGUACCCCGGGGAUAACAGGCUGAUCAUUCCCAAGAGUCCAUAUCGACGGGAUGGUUUGGCACCUCGAUGUCGGCUCGUCGCAUCCUGGGGCUGGAGCAGGUCCCAAGGGUUCGGCUGUUCGCCGAUUAAAGCGGCACGCGAGCUGGGUUCAGAACGUCGUGAGACAGUUUGGUCUCUAUCCUCUGCGCUCGUUGGAAUCCUGAGGAGGCCUGCCCAUAGUACGAGAGGACCUGGGUGGACGAACCUCUGGUAUGCCGGUUGUCGCGCCAGCGGCACGGCCGGUUGGCUACGUUCGGGAGGGAUAACCGCUGAAAGCAUCUAAGCGGGAAGCCUGCUCCAAGAUUAGGAUUCCGUACGGUCUUGAACUGUUGUAGCCCGCAUGUUGAACACGUGUUUGAUAGGCCGGAGGUGGAAGUCCCGUGAGGGGUGGAGCCGACCGGUACUAACGGGCGACGGCGACACAAC